rnacentral:rRNA from 1 species
UGGGGAAUUUUGGACAAUGGGCGCAAGCCUGGUCCAGCCAUGCCGCGUGAGUGAAGAAGGCCUUCGGGUUGUAAAGCUCUUUCGGUGGGGAAGAAAUUGCUUCGAUUAAUACUCGGAGUAGAUGACGGUACCCGCAUAAGAAGCACCGGCUAACUACGUGCCAGCAGCCGCGGUAAUACGUAGGGUGCGAGCGUUAAUCGGAAUUACUGGGCGUAAAGCGUGCGCAGGCGGUUGUGUAAGUCAGAUGUGAAAUCCCCGGGCUCAACCUGGGAACUGCAUUUGAGACUGCACGGCUAGAGUGUAGCAGAGGGGGGUAGAAUUCCACGUGUAGCAGUGAAAUGCGUAGAGAUGUGGAGGAAUACCGAUGGCGAAGGCAGCCCCCUGGGUUACUACUGACGCUCAUGCACGAAAGCGUGGGGAGCAAACA